rnacentral:rRNA from 1 species
AGUGGAUGGGGAGCAACCUAGUUGUGCGUGUGUAAAGGUAGUGCCAAGAAAAGCGAUGAUCAUGUUGAAAAUCAAUUCCCGGUACCCGAAACCGACACAGGUGGGCAAGUAGAGAAUACUAAGGGGCGCGAGGUAACUCUCUCCAAGGAACUCGGCAAAAUGACCCCGUAACUUAGGGAGAAGGGGUGCCACCGAGAGGUGGUCGCAGUGAAGAGGCCCAGGCGACUGUUUAGCAAAAACAUAGGUCUCUGCAAACUCGAAAGAGGAGGUAUAGGGGCUGACGCCUGCCCAGUGCCGGAAGGUUAAAGAAGUUGGUCAGUCUUAGGAUGAAGCUAGCGACUGAAGCCCCGGUGAACGGCGGCCGUAACUAUAACGGUCCUAAGGUAGCGAAAUUCCUUGUCGGGUAAGUUCCGACCCGCACGAAAGGCGUAACGAUCUGGGCGCUGUCUCGGAGAGAGGCUCGGCGAAAUAGGAUUGUCUGUGAAGAUACGGACUACCCGCAUUUGGACAGAAAGACCCUAUGAAGCUUUACUAUAGCUUGGAAUUGUGUUCGGGCUUCCUGUGCGCAGGAUAGGUGGGAGGCGUAGAAGGUAUUCUUGUGGGGAUACUGGAGCCAACGGUGAGAUACCACUCUCAGGAGGCUAGAAUUCUAACUUAAUUAAGGACAGUUUCAGGUGGGUAGUUUGACUGGGGCGGUCGCCUCCAAAAAGGUAACGGAGGCGUACAAAGGUUCCCUCAGACUGGUUGGAAAUCAGUCGAAGAGUGCAAAGGCAGAAGGGAGCUUGACUGCGAGAAGUACAGUUCGAGCAGGGUGGAAACACGGUCUUAGUGAUCCGACGGUGCUGUGUGGAAGGGCCGUCGCUCAACGGAUAAAAGUUACUCUAGGAUAACAGGCUGAUCUCCCCCAAGAGUUCACAUCGACGGGGAGGUUUGGCACCUCGAUGUCGGCUCAUCGCAACCUGGGGCGGAAGUACGUCCCAAGGGUUGGGCUGUUCGCCCAUUAAAGCGGUACGUGAGCUGGGUUCAGAACGUCGUGAGACAGUUCGGUCCAUAUCCGAUGUAGGCGUGAGAAUAUUGAGAGGAGCCUUCCUUAGUACGAGAGGACCGGGAAGGACGCACCGCUGGUGUACCUGUUAUGAUGCCAAUUGUAAACGCAGGGUAGCCAAGUGCGGAGAGGAUAACCGCUGAAAGCAUCUAAGUGGGAAGCCCACCUCAAGAUGAGUAUUCUGGUGUAAGGUCACGGGAAGACGACCCGUAAAUAGGCACGAGGUGGAAGUGCAGAGAUGUAUGAAGCCGAAGUGUACUAAUAGACCGUCGGCUUGACCAG